CGCGAGGUCGGAAACACAGGCAUUUCUGGGCCCUUUUCCGCCGGGUUGGAGUCGGGACAGUGAAUAAACUUAAUUGAGAAUGUCUGAAAACCUUGACAAAUCUCAUGUAAAUGAAGCAGGAAAAUCAAAUGAUUCUGAGCCAGGCCUGGAAGGUGCUCUGGAAUGUUCUGAUGAAGUUUUACAGAAACAAAUAAAUUCAGACUCUGCUAGUCCACGAAGAAUGCAAAGACCUCACUCCAGUCCUCCUCAGUUUGUGGCAGUAGAAGAACUCCUAGAGACAGCAAAAGGCAUCACCAACAUGGUUCUAGCUCAUGAAAUUGUAGUCAAUGGAGACUUUCAGCUUAAACCAGUGGAAUUACCAGAAAACAGCUUGCGGAAGAAAGUAAAAGAGAUUGUACAUAAAGCUUUUUGGGAUUGCUUGAGUGCCCAGCUAAGUGAAGACCCCCCAACGUAUGACCAUGCUAUCAAACUUGUAGGAGAAAUCAGAGAGAUUCUCUUAUCUUUCUUGCUGCCUGGUCACACUCGAUUGAGGAACCAGAUAACGGAAGUCUUGGAUCUGGAUCUGAUGAAGCAAGAAGCAGAAAAUGGAGCCCUAGACAUUUCCAAGCUGGCAGAAUUUAUUAUUGACAUGAUGGGGACACUGUGUGCACCUGCUCGAGAUGAGGAAGUUAACAAACUGAAGGACAUUAAGGAACUAGUGCCCCUGUUCAGGGCGAUUUUUUCUGUGUUGGACCUAAUGAAAAUGGACAUGGCCAAUUUUGCUAUCACUAGCAUCCGGCCCCACCUCAUGCAGCAGUCGGUUGAAUACGAGAGGAAGAAGUUCCAGGAGUUUUUGGAGAAACAGCCAAAUUCCCUAGACUUUGUUACCCAGUGGCUAGAAGAAGCCUCGGGUGACCUCAUGACUCAGAAGCACAAACAUGCCCUGCCGGCUGCAGGAGAGGCCGCUGGCUCUGGAGAUGCUCCCGCGCUGACUCCCGUGGUUGUCCAGAAUUACGCAUACCUGAAGCUUCUGAAAUGGGACCACCUUCGGAGGCCUUUCCCUGAGACUGUUUUGAUGGACCAGUGUCGCUUCCAAGAGCUCCAGCUUCAGCUGGAGCAACUAACCAUCCUGGGAGCUGUGUUGCUGGUCACGUUCAGCACGGUAGCCCCUGUGAUUUCCAGCCAGAAUGACUUUGCUGAGAAGCUCAAGAUGAUUGUGAAGAUUCUGCUAGCUGAUAUGCACCUGCCCUCCUUCCAUCUAGAGAACGCUCUCACUUCCACCGGGGAAAAAGUGUGUCUGGAGGUGAGCAGCCGCCUCUCCCAGUGCGGCUUCUCCCCAUUCUCCACGGACAAGGAGACUGUGCUCAAGGGCCAGAUUCUAGCUGUGGCCAGCCCUGAGGACCCCAUUCGCAGGAUCAUGGAGUCCCGAAUCAUCACCUUCCUGGAAACCUACCUUGCCUCUGGUCAGCAGAAGCCAUUGCCCACUGUGCCUGGGGGACUGAGUCCCAUUCAGAGAGAGCUGGAGGAAGUUGCUGUGAGGUUCGUUCGCCUGGUCAACUAUAACAAGAUGGUCUUCUGCCCCUACUAUGAUGCAAUCCUCAGUAAGCUCCUCCGCCCCUAACUGUGCGCUCCCUCCAGCAGCAGUAUUAGUCACUCUCCUCAGAAUACUUGUUCUCAGCUAUACCGUUGCUUUGGAAAAUGGCUACGUAGUACAUUGCUCUUUAACAGCACUGAUUCCAAUGGAAGGACUGUCUAUCACUGUUGAAAAGACUUGUUGAAGAAUGCACUGAAUUCUAUUUUGAGAGAUUGUAUUUAUGAGUGUCCAGAGGGAGGCUUUCUUCCUGUGUGGGAG